rnacentral:rRNA from 1 species
UACGUAGGGGGCGAGCGUUGUCCGGAUUUAUUGGGCGUAAAGCGCGUGUAGGCGGCUAUGCAAGUCGGGCGUGAAAGCCCUCGGCUCAACCGAGGAAGUGCACUCGAAACUGCGUAGCUAGAGUCCCGUAGAGGAAGGUGGAAUACUUGGUGUAGAGGUGAAAUUCGUAGAUAUCAAGUGGAACACCGGUGGCGAAGGCGGCCUUCUGGACGGUGACUGACGCUGAGACGCGAAAGCGUGGGGAGCAAACAGG